rnacentral:lncRNA from 1 species
AUGAAAUAUUAGUUCUGGUUGCUAGUGCAGAUCUGGACUCGGAUCAAGGGUGUCGAGAGGGUCCUGGGUCCUGUUCCUUUGCCUUUCAAAAAGACUUUUUACGGAUUGAGAAUUUUUAAAUACCACUAGGGGAAAGGUGAAGGUUCUUUGCAGCCUUCAGUGUUGAAAUGGACGAAGGUAAGGAAGGCAAAUCAUUUUAAGACGAAAUCUCCGAUUUUUUAAAAAAGGAGGAAAAAAGCAGGGUGGCUAAGGAUAAAGAAAGAGGACUUGAGAAAAUGUGGAGAAUGAAAAACAGGAGAGCAGCGAGCAAAAGCAAAGAUCCAGAGUUCAAAGAGACUGGCAGAAGGAAAUAGCUGCGGGCUGAGUGCUGAAGAGGGGAGGGACUGACGGCUGCCGGCCGGUAGGAGCGCGGAGCUGCGCUGCGGCGGCCCAGGAGCUGCUGCGGUUCCCGCUGCUCGGGGAGCAGGCGGUGUGUGCGCGGCUGCGAAGUCGAGGUUGAAACUGCACCGCCAAGGCGCGCUCCUGCUGUGUCUGGAGCUCCGGCGUCUCCUCUGCCUCCCAGCUCAGCGCCUCCCACCCUCCUUCCCUCCUCCUCUUCCCAGCUCCCCCGCCCUCUGCUGCUCGCAGCCUCGCCAGUGAGAAUCUACUGUAAGUGUGAGUUGCUUCGACGAAGUCACACACCCACGGAGGGAAGUAAUCUGGAGGCUGCCUUGAAGUCUGAAAGCAGGUUCUUUUUAUUAUAAUGUGCUCCGAAUGGAUGAAGCAAAUUUAGAGGAAGAGCAGUGAAUCAGUUUCUCAGUUUGGCAAAAAGCCUCACGGGCAUGUACAGGAAGCCUUCCUGCAGACAUCCACAGUGAACAAGUCUAAGGACAAUAGCUUUCGUUGGCCCCCAAUAGAAGGCAUUUUUAGUGAUGUGUGGCCUCACCACUUAAAUCCAGUUUAUUGAAUCUGAAGUGAUUUGCUCCUCUUUCUGGACUACACAAUAAACACCCUCCAACGUCCCCAGCCAUGCUCUUCCCAUCAUUUGGCUGAAAGGGGAGGAAUUCAAGGCCUUAGAGUGGGGAAGCUACAAUUUGGAAGAAUCCUGGAAGCACAGAUUACCCUGUGAAGCAGCAUCCCCAUGAGGGUCUCUUUCUUCUGUGAUAUAAGCAAGAAAUAAAUGAAUUGUGCAAAUCCAAAAAAAAAAAAAAAAAAAAAA